GACGAACGCUGGCGGCGUGCUUAACACAUGCAAGUCGAGCGGAGCGGCGAACGGGUGAGUAACGCGUGAGUAACUGCCCCCCUCCCUGGGAUAACGGUUGGAACAGGCUGCUAAUACCGGUUAGUGGGGGAUGACUCGCGUCCUAUCAGCUAGGUGGUGGGGUAGUGGCCUACCAAGGCGCCUACGGGUAGCCGGCCUUGGGGGGCGACCGGCCACAUUGGGCUGAGAUACGGCCCAAACUCCUACGGGAGGCAGCAGUGGGGAAUAUUGCACAAUGGGGGAAGCCCUGAUGCAGCAAGGCCGCGCGCGGGAUGACGGCCUUCGUGUUGUAAUCCGCGUUCAGCCAUGACGCGGUAGUGGCAGAAGAAGCACCGGCUAAGUACGUGCCAGCAGCCGCGGUAAUAC
rnacentral:rRNA from 1 species